UGGGGAAUAUUGGACAAUGGGCGAAAGCCUGAUCCAGCCAUGCCGCAUGAGUGAAGAAGGCCUUUGGGUUGUAAAGCUCUUUUAGUGAGGAAGAUAAUGACGGUACUCACAGAAGAAGUCCUGGCUAACUCCGUGCCAGCAGCCGCGGUAAUACGGAGAGGGCUAGCGUUAUUCGGAAUUAUUGGGCGUAAAGGGCGCAUAGGCUGGUUAGUAAGUUAAAAGUGAAAUCCCGAGGCUUAACCUUGGAACUGCUUUUAAAACUGCUAACCUAGAGAUUGAAAGAGGAUAGAGGAAUUCCUAGUGUAGAGGUGAAAUUCGUAAAUAUUAGGAGGAACACCAGUGGCGAAGGCGUCUAUCUGGUUCAAAUCUGACGCUGAGGCGCGAAGGCGUGGGGAGCAAACA
rnacentral:rRNA from 1 species